AACGAACGCUGGCGGCAGGCCUAAUACAUGCAAGUCGAACGCCUGUAGCAAUACAGGAGUGGCGCACGGGUGAAUAACACGUGGGAAUAUGCCUUUUGGUACGGGACAACGUCUGGAAACGGACGCUAAUACCGUAUGGUCCCUUCGGGGCAAAGAUUUAUCGCCAAAAGAUUAGCCCGCGUCUGAUUAGCUAGUUGGUGAGGUAACGGCUCACCAAGGCGACGAUCAGUAGCUGGUCUGAGAGGACGAUCAGCCACACUGGGACUGAGACACGGCCCAGACUCCUACGGGAGGCAGCAGUAGGGAAUAUUGGACAAUGGGCGCAAGCCUGAUCCAGCCAUGCCGCGUGAGUGAUGAAGGCCUUCGGGUUGUAAAGCUCUUUAGUCCGCGAAUAAAAUGACUGUAGCGGAAGAAUAAGCCCCGGCUAACUUCGUGCCAGCAGCCGCGGUAA
rnacentral:rRNA from 1 species